ACUCUCUCCUGAUAUCCAGCACUGGGCCCUGGUCAUCCUUGAGGACACAUGUGUACUAGAGCCUUUGACACCUGAGAGUCUGAGGGGUGC